ACAACUCUUCAUCCAGGAAAUCACCAACAACUUAUUUCCUUAAGCACAGAAUAGGAAAAAUUUUGCUUAAUUGCCUUACCACAUCUCUCUGGUCCAAGUGGUAAGUUUUAUUUCAUGAAAUCUUUCUUGUCUGAGGGAUUUACGCAGUAAUUUCAUGUAUGUCAGUUUAUUUUAAAGAGACAGGAAUGUCAUAAAGUGAGUGGGGUUUUCAGAUGAAUGAUUGUUUUUCUGAAAUAGAUAAAAGGCCACAAAGAGGGAAAAAGAGAUUAAAGUGGAGUAUACAAUGAUGGUCAGGAUGGUAUACUUUUCAAAUACAAAUGAAGAAUGUGGAGAUAUCUUUUACCAGACGUCUCCCAAGAACAUUUCUUCAAAAUAGGUCCUUAUAAGUACACAUUUGAGAUUGAGAGAAGAGGCUCGUUCAUAAUAUGUAUGUCUGAAAUUCUUAAACAACUCUCCAUUAAAACAAACAAAAAAAUAAAAAAAAAAACACUGGGUAAAGGAUGUAAAAAGAAGUGUCUAGAGCUUAUCUAUUUGUAAAAAGAUUCCUAAGUUACACCUGUCAAAAAUUUCUGCUCAGAUUUGUUUUGAUCUAGUUCUUAAGUAUUAUGACACCCUUUCUGAUCGUAGUGUUCAGACUUUUCAGCUCUAUCCUUGUUCUUAACCUUGGCCUAUUUUGGAAAUGGUAAUUUUAAUGCAAGUAAGUUCCUUUUAAAAUAUGAUUAGUAGACCAACAGUUGUUGACCAUCAGGAGUCACACAAGGGUAUGACCUAAGAUGGAGCUUUUGUGUGUGUUUUAGCUAGGAGGAAAGUCAUCUCCAUAUUCUUCACUUAAAGGGCCUAAAGGAGGCGGGGGCAGGAGGGACAAUCUUCUACAAUUUAUUACUGUGGGUCAGUUAUUUCCAGGUGAAAUGCAACUUCAAUGUUGCAACUAGUUGCUAAAUGCAGUUCAGUCUAGAUCAGUACUUUUUUUUUUUUUUUUUUUGCACAAAAUGAAGCCUGCAUGUGACUUCGACACACUGAUAUUUAAACAUUUAUGCACCAUUCAUAAGACAGGAUUUUGACAUUGACCAUGGUUGACCGUGCUAGGUAGAAUAUCAUAGAAAUUUAAACAACAAAAGGACAACAAAACAGAGGUUGAAUAGUGACAGCAAAGAAAAUAAAUACUAAAUUGUUCUUCUUUAUAAAAGACUGUUUUCUGUAUGAAUGUAUGAUACAUUUGACAUAAUUUUAUAUAAUGGAACAUGAGCACUCUACCGACAAAGGAUGGAGGUCUAGUGAUGCAGGUGAAAUGAUAAGCAGAGGCUACUGAAGUUCUGCUCUACAGCAUGUCAGCUGUUUCUCACCUUACCCCAGGGUACCUUGUGGCUGCUGGGGCCUACAGGCUGCUCUGGGUUUCACAAUUCUCUCCCUCCUCCAGACAUUAUCUGUGUGUGUUUCAAGAAUAGUCGUGGGUAAUUAUAAUUACACUUCCCGGAUGCUAGAACCGAAGCAAAUCAUUCUAGUCAUGGCUUCAAGAAAAGAAAAAAUAUUCUCUUCUAAGCUCUGCUUUUUCUCAUUAGAGAAAUGAUGUACUUAAUUUUUUUUUAUUGUUUAUUAUUUUUGAGAGAGAAAGAGAGAGAGAGAGACUGAGAGCAAGCAGGGAAGGGGCAGAGAGAGAGAGGGAGACACAUAAUCGGAAGCAGGCUCCAGGCUCUGAGGGCUCAGGACAGAGCCCAAGGUGGGGCUCAAACACACAGCGAGAUCAUGAGCUGAGCUGGAGUCAGCUGCCCAACCGACUGAGCCACCCAGGCACCCCUGAUGUAUUUAAUUUUAAAAUGUGUUUCCUGUGGCAAAGAUCCUGGAAUUAAAGAGUGACGUUUACUCUCUCAUCCACACCAGAGUUCCUCAAAUAUCCAGCUCUCCUAUCUCUCAUUGGUCUCUUCUCCUCUCACUGUUUCAUUCUCCACCCUCUCCACUCUCCACCCUCCGGGCACUGGCCUCUAGAGACAGCACAGGCUGAGCUCCUCUGUGUGCCCCUGGUUGGAUUUGGUCAACAGGAAGCCCCAGUUAAGACAUCAAAGAGCAGAGGAAUGAGAGGUCAGGUAGAUGUUCUCCCUGCUGAACCUGCUGGGUCACAGUUUGGCAAUGGCUCUGUUCCUCCAUCUAGAGAGUCAUAGCUCCUCUACGAUGCCUUAACUCUUAUGUUGCAAUAACACAUUCCAUCUUCUUGUAUCUUCAGGCCUAAAGGUAAUAGUAGCUUCUGCUUUUUAUCUCCCAGUG